GCCAGGGCACUUUAUACCGGGAAGAGCCGGAAGCACGCCUGCGCACUGCCUACCCCAGUACGGCGCGCUGGCGUGGACAAACUUUCUCUCCAGGGGCGUGGCUCAGUUCCAAGUGGGCGUGGCGACUGGUGAAUUCAAGUUCUGGAUGGUCCGAGUCAGCAGCACAGUGUUUGACACAUUGUCAGAUUUCUACAGAAAAUUGGCCCUUUGAUUGAAUGAAAAUUUGUUGAAGAGAAACAAAUUUGUUGAAGAGAAGCAAACAGUUGAGGAAAUCCUUCCUAGGUCCAUCAGCUGACAUAGUCCGUCAUAGUCUCCACUCGCCCAGAUACUUACUAUCAAAGCUUAACAGGAGAGCUGUCCAGUUUGUUCUGCCACACAUGGUACUAGAUGUCCUCUGCAGGCUUCAGUGAUCUGUCAUAUCACUCAAGGGCAUCUGGGCAUGCCAUCCACUGCACUGUCUUCAACAACCAAGGACAAGGAUAGAGUGCGGAACAACAAUUGAUUGAGCUCUCUUUCUGCAUACACCAUUGAACAAAGAACAAGCUCCCUCAUCUGUCCUUUCUAAACCUCCUUCUAGCCGGACACACGAUGUUUGCAGUGCUAUGAGAGGAAACAAAAGCAUGACCUCUGUGGUCCAGACCCACAGGUUCACCCCAGAGAUCUGCAGGAUGGCAGACACUGCAGCCAGGUGCCUGAUCCCCUGCAUACCUAUAUAUUUAUACCUGCUCCUCUCUAAGAUGUUUCAUGCGUAUCAUUUCAUUUAGUCCUGAUAAUAGCUUGUUGGGUUAGGAAUUAUUGUACUUGCUAUAGCACCAUAUGUUAUUCUAAACUUUCAAAACUUGAGUCAAUGUCUCAGGAUUGUGCCCAGCCAAGUAUUCAAUACUAGAGGUCAGUGCCUUCCCACCUACCCCCCAAUCAAAGUUAAUUCCAUACUUCUUGACUUAACCAGAGGACUGACUCUUCAAAUUCUA